UCCUACGGGAGGCAGCAGUGGGGAAUAUUGGACAAUGGGGGAAACCCUGAUCCAGCAAUGCCGCGUGUGUGAUGAAGGCCCUAGGGUUGUAAAGCACUUUCACUGGUGAAGAUGAUGACGGUAACCAGAGAAGAAGCCCCGGCUAACUUCGUGCCAGCAGCCGCGGUAAUACGAAGGGGGCGAGCGUUGUUCGGAAUUACUGGGCGUAAAGGGAGCGCAGGCGGUUCAUUAAGUUAGGCGUGAAAGCCCCGGGCUCAACCUGGGAACUGCGCUUAAUACUGAUGAACUAGAAAACAGGAGAGGGUAGUGGAAUUUCCAGUGUAGAGGUGAAAUUCGUAGAUAUUGGAAAGAACACCGGUGGCGAAAGCGGCUACCUGGCCUGAUUUUGACGCUGAGGCUCGAAAGCGUGGGGAGCAAACAGGACUAGAUACCCUGGUAGUCCACGCCGUAAACGAUGACAGCUAGAUGUCGGGGGGUUGCCCCUCGGUGUCGCCGCUAACGCAUUAAGCUGUCCGCCUGGGAAGUACGGUCGCAAGAUUAAAACUCAAAUGAAUUGACGG
rnacentral:rRNA from 1 species